rnacentral:lncRNA from 1 species
AUGCACCCCACAUCUCUCCAGAUUUCAGGAAGACUAUUAUUCUUUGACUUUAGCUUUCUGAUGGGUUCACAAAAAGCUGUUAGUGUGCUGUUGGUCCAGCUUUUUUCUUGUUGGAAAUAUGAGAGCUACAGUUCUGCGAUGAAACCACAGAAAUCCAUGUAUUUUCCAGCACUCAAUCCUCACUGCCAAAACUGUCAAGAACGUAAAGGGUCUGAGAUUGUACCCUACUUGCAAGGUAACAAGUUAACCUCGCAUAAUUUCAUGUCUGCUGGUAGAAGCUAUGACACUCCUGAGUCAGAAGUAAAGAACUGCUUAUAUUGUUUAUUUCUCACGGUAAUAGCAGUAACCAGAAUAUAA